rnacentral:rRNA from 1 species
CGGAUUAGAUACCCUGGUAGUCCACGCCCUAAACGAUGUAUGCUUGGUGUUGGAGGUUAUGCCUUCAGUGCCGUAGGAAACCCGUUAAGCAUACCACCUGGGAGUACGAUCGCAAGUUUGAAACUCAAAGGAAUUGACGGGGGCCCGCACAAGCGGUGGAUCAUGUGGUUCAAUUCGAUGCAACGCGAAGAACCUUACCUGGGCUUGAAGUACAGGAAGUAGAGAGAUGAAAGUCAAACGACCCGUUAAGUCGGUAUUCUGUAGAGGUGCUGCAUGGCUGUCGUCAGCUCGUGCCGUGAGGUGUUGGGUUAAGUCCCGCAACGAGCGCAACCCUUAUCCUUAGUUGCCAUCGGGUUAUGCCGGGCACUCUAAGGAGACUGCCUACGCAAGUAGAGAGGAAGGUGGGGACGACGUCAAGUCAUCAUGGCCCUUAUGUCCAGGGCUACACACGUGAUACAAUGGUCGGUGCAGUGGGCGAAGCCGCGAGGUGGAGGAAAUCCCCAAAACCGAUCUCAGUUCGGAUUGUAGUCUGCAACUCGACUGCAUGAAGUUGGAAUCGCUAGUAAUCGUAGAUCAGCUCGCUACGGUGAAUACGUUCCCGGGCCUUGUACACACCGCCCGUCAAGCCAUGGAAGUUGGGGGUGCCCGAAGCCGCAUUACAUGCGUCUAAGGCAAACUCAAUGACUGGGGCUAAGUCGUAACAAG